AGUUCUAUGCCUGAUAAAAGGAAUAAAUUGUAAAUUUAUUUAUGAAGUAUUUUCUGGGACUA
rnacentral:tRNA from 1 species